GACUCUGCACGAUAUUUGACAGCGGCAUCGUCCCAGCUGGGUGUCACUUACUGGGAGAUAGUGGCUAUCCCAGCAAGAAGUGGCUACUGACUCCAUACCUCAGACCACAGCCUGGAGCACAGUCUUCUUAUAACAGGGCCCACAAGAAAACCUGCAGCAUUGUUGAGAGAGGCAUCGGGCAGCUGAAGCCACAUUUUCACAUGCUACACAGUGAAAUCAAGUUGGUCCUCCACCCAAGGUCUGCCAAAUUGUAGAGGUUUGUGCAUUACUGCACAACAUCUGCAAAGCAAGAAACAUCAUUCUUCCUGAGGAAGAAGAACAUCUUGCUGCAGCCGAGGAUGGAGGCAAUGAGGAGCGACCCCCAGCACAGAAAGUUCAAAGUCGCCAUGAAGGAAUCCUUUACAGGGAUGAAUUUGUUGUGCUUCACUUAAACAUUGAUGAGUGAUGAGACACCAGUGUCAUGACUGCUGAGAUUGGCGUUAAUUUCAUGUGGAUGAUCUCCUCCUCAUCCACAUAGACCAGUGAUGUACCAGGCAAGUCUGGCCCCUGUUGGUGCCACAUCACUGGUGCUGGAAGUGGUGUGGCAGGUGCCUCCUCCUCAACACCUACUGCUUCGGUCACCACUUCUCUCUGUUGGGCUGCCUCUGCCACUUCCCCAGCAUCAUCUGCUGCCUGAACACUGCUGGCAUCAUUAGUUCUAACUUCAGAAACUAAGCUGAUAAUGUUUUUGGUUUUAUUGCUAAGGACAAAAGUAACAGAAACCAGUAAAUCUAGCUAAGGGUA